AUUGAACGCUGGCGGCAGGCCUAACACAUGCAAGUCGAGCGGAUGAAGGGAGCUUGCUCCUGGAUUCAGCGGCGGACGGGUGAGUAAUGCCUAGGAAUCUGCCUGGUAGUGGGGGAUAACGUCCGGAAACGGGCGCUAAUACCGCAUACGUCCUGAGGGAGAAAGUGGGGGAUCUUCGGACCUCACGCUAUCAGAUGAGCCUAGGUCGGAUUAGCUAGUUGGUGGGGUAAAGGCCUACCAAGGCGACGAUCCGUAACUGGUCUGAGAGGAUGAUCAGUCACACUGGAACUGAGACACGGUCCAGACUCCUACGGGAGGCAGCCGUGGGGAAUAUUGGACAAUGGGCGAAAGCCUGAUCCAGCCAUGCCGCGUGUGUGAAGAAGGUCUUCGGAUUGUAAAGCACUUUAAGUUGGGAGGAAGGGCAGUAAGUUAAUACCUUGCUGUUUUGACGUUACCAACAGAGUAAGCACCGGCUAACUUCGUG
rnacentral:rRNA from 1 species